GACGAACGCUGGCGGCGUGCUUAACACAUGCAAGUCGAACGGAAAGGCCCUGCUUUUGUGGGGUUCUCGAGUGGCGAACGGGUGAGUAACACGUGAGUAACCUGCCCUUGACUUUGGGAUAACUUCAGGAAACUGGGGCGAUUACCGGAUAGAAUCUCCUGCUGCAUGGGGUGGGUUGGAAAGUUUCGGCGGUUGGGGCUGGACUCGCGGCUCAUCAGCUUGUUGGUGGGGUAGUGGCUUACCAAGGUUUUGACGGGUAGCCGGCCUGAGAGGGUGACCGGCCACCUUGGGACUGAGAUACGGCCCAGACUCCUACGGGAGGCAGCAGUGGGGAAUAUUGCACAAUGGGCGGAAGCCUGAUGCAGCAACGCCGCGUGCGGGAUGACGGCCUUCGGGUUGUAAACCGCUUUCGCCUGUGACGAAGCGUGAGUGACGGUAAUGGGUAAAGAAGCCCCGGCUAACUACGUG
rnacentral:rRNA from 1 species